CACGUAGGGCGCAAGCGUUGUCCGGAAUUAUUGGGCGUAAAGAGCUCGUAGGCGGUCUGUUGCGUCCGCUGUGAAAACUCGGGGCUUAACCCCGAGCCUGCAGUGGAUACGGGCAGACUAGAGGUAGGUAGGGGAGAAUGGAAUUCCCGGUGUAGCGGUGAAAUGCGCAGAUAUCGGGAAGGAACACCGGUGGCGAAGGGCGGUUCUCUGGGCCUU
rnacentral:rRNA from 1 species